CCUACGGGAGGCUGCAGUGAGGAAUAUUGGUCAAUGGACGAGAGUCUGAACCAGCCAAGUAGCGUGAAGGAUGCCUGCCCUAUGGGUUGUACACUUCUUUUAUAAGGGAAUAAAACGAGGCACGUGUGCCUUUUUUCAUGUACUUUAUGAAUAAGGAUCGGCUAAUUCCGUGCCAGCAGCCUCGGUACUACGGAGGAUCCGAGCGUUAUCAGGAUUUAUUGGGUUUAAGGGGUGCGUAGGCGGAAUGCCAAGUCAGCGGUAAACUCGCGGGGCUCAACCUCGCUCCGCAGUUGAAACUGGCGUUCUUGAGUGGGCGAGAAGUAUGCGGAAUGCGUGGUGUAGCGGUGAAAUGCAUAGAUAUCACGCAGAACUCCUAUUGCGAAGGCAGCAUACCGGCGCCCAACUGACGCUGAAGCACGAAAGCGUGGGUAUCGAACAGGAUUAGAUACCCCGGUAGUC
rnacentral:rRNA from 1 species